rnacentral:snRNA from 1 species
AUACUUGCCUGGCACAGGGGAUAGCGUGAUCACGAAGAUGGCCCCGUCAGGGCGAGGCCCUUCCAUUGCACAUUGGUCGGGUUGGUCCCAGCGUUUGCCCCAAAUGUGGAUAAAUCGGUGGUAUAAUUGCUAGCGGGGUAGGUUGUGUUCGCGGUUCUGCC